CUUGAAACACGGACCAAGGAGUUCAGCACAUGUGCAGGUUGUUGGGUAUAGACACCCGAAGGCACAGUGAAAGCAAACGAUGCAACUCGGUUGUAUCACAGUGGCAAGAUCUCGGCUCUUUGAGUUGGGCGCACUGCCGGCCCGUUUUCUAGCUACGCGCUCGAAACGGAGUUAGAGCACAUACGCUGAGACCCGAAAGAUGGUGAACUAUGCCUGGGCAGGAUGAAGUCAGGGGAAACUCUGAUGGAAGUCCGUAGCGAUUCUGACGUGCAAAUCGAUCGUCUGACCUGGGUAUAGGGGCGAAAGACUAAUCGAACCAUCUAAUAGCUGGUUCCUUCCGAAGUUUCCCUCAGGAUAGCUGGUGCUAUUUGUUCAGUCUCUCCCGGUAAAGCGAAUGAUUAGAGGUCUUGGGGGCAAAACGCCCUCAACCUAUUCUCAAACUUUAAAUGGGUGAGAAGUCCAGCUUACUUAAGUGAAGUCUGGACUCUAGGAUGUUUGAGUACCAAGUGGGCCAUUUUUGGUAAGCAGAACUGGCGCUGUGGGAUGAACCGAACGCUGGGUUACGGUGUCCGAGUAUACGCUCAUCAGACCCCACAAAAGGUGUUGGUUGCUAUAGACAGCAGGACGGUGGCCAUGGAAGUCGGAAUCCGCUAAGGAGUGUGUAACAACUCACCUGCCGAAGCAAUUAGCCCUGAAAAUGGAUGACGCUUGAGCGUGUCACCUAUACCCGGCCGUUGGAGCACACGUUGUGUUGGCAUUUAUCUUGCCUCACACAAUGAACUAGACGUGCUAGUAAUGCUCCAACGAGUAGGAAGGUCGCGGUGGUAAGCAUUGAAGCGUUAGCGGUGUAGACCGGCGUGGAGCUGCCAUCGGUGCAGAUCUUGGUGGUAGUAGCAAAUACUCAAGCGAGAAUCUUGAGGACUGAAGUGGGGAAGGGUUCCAUGUGAACAGCAGUUGAACAUGGGUCAGUCGAUCCUAAGCCAUCGGCGAAAGCCGUUCAGAAGCGGUGUUAGUUUUUGUGCUAGUUGUGUUUCGGCAUGGCUAGUGCUACUGGUUCGGGCUCUGCUCAUUCCAGUGACUGCACCUGGCGAAAGGGAAUUGGGUUAACAUUCCCAAACCAAGCAACGGAUAGUGCUUGUCUACUUGGUUAUGUUGGCUGCGUGCCGGCAUAAUCUGGGCAAGACCAUACGGUAACGUAAACAAAUUUGACUACACUGACCGGCGCCCUGGGAAGAGUUGUCUUUUCUUUAUAAGCAGUCGACCCCAUGGAAUAGGUUCAGCCUGAGAUAUGGGGAUGACUAGCGAAAAGCACCGCGGUUCUUGCGGUGUCCGGUGCGUGCCGGUCGGUCCGUGAAAAGUCAAAGGAGACAAUAAUUCUCGUGCUUGAUCGUACCCAUAUCCGCAGCAGGUCCCCAAG
rnacentral:rRNA from 2 species